rnacentral:rRNA from 1 species
UACGAAGGGGGCUAGCGUUGUUCGGAAUCACUGGGCGUAAAGGGCGCGUAGGCGGCUUUAUAAGUCGGGGGUGAAAGCCUGUGGCUCAACCACAGAAUUGCCUUCGAUACUGUAGAGCUUGAGACCGGAAGAGGUAAGUGGAACUGCGAGUGUAGAGGUGAAAUUCGUAGAUAUUCGCAAGAACACCAGUGGCGAAGGCGGCUUACUGGUCCGGUUCUGACGCUGAGGCGCGAAAGCGUGGGGAGCAAACA